AUUUCUUAUGCAGAUAGAAAGCAAUCGUCCACAUCCACUCCCCUCGCCACCGGCCAAAUCGUCACACAUCCACUCCCCUCGCUCCCGCAUUAGAAAGGCGAAGACUUCGAAAACGGCCGACGGCGCACAUCCGCCUCCUCAGCUCCGCCUCUCCCGCACUGCAUCCCGCACCGUCUCCCCUCGCAUCGCAGCCCCGCCUCUCUCCAUCGUUCCUGGCCGUUGGCCUUCUUCUCCGACGCCGGAUACACUCGUGAAGAGGGAGGAGGACCCGCAGCGGCGUCCGUCCCAACGCCCCGCACCUACCCUUCAAUCCGGUGAGCGACGAUGCGCGCGAAUCUGCCUCUCCGACACCGGCUACGCUCUUGAUGAGGGAGGAGCCGCAACUCGUGGAUCCAGGGGCAGCGGUGUCCGUCCCACCGCCCCACACCUCCCACUGCCCUGCACCUCCCGUCCAGUCCUCUAAAGUUCAAGCGGCGUCCGAGUGGAGGAGACGACGUAGGCAGAGCGUCCGAGCAGAGGUGGCGGCGGAGGGGCGUCAGCUAGCCUGCGUCACGAACAAAUGCUGCUCAGGUGCCCUGCCCCCGACUUCUAAGCAGUGUCACGGAGGCAGAUGCGGCACGGCAUACCCAUGAUGGAGGCAGCAAGGGCAAGACGUCGCGGCUCUUCCUCACGUCUCUGAUCGAUGCAUCAGCGGUGCGCGGCACAAUGAGGGCAAGGCAGAGCGGCGCGAGCAGCACGGGGGCACAGUCACGGCUCCUCCACCGGUGGCGCUCGACCCUCUUCCCCUACUAGCGGCACCAUCCACCUGCUGGCUAGCGGCAGUGCACAACGAGCUACAGAGCACUGUCACCAACCUUUUCUCCAGUUUGGAUUUGAACCAGGCGAGUCCCUUUCUUCUAGGAACUCCAACGAAGGUGGAGCAGCAAGUCACCUUGGGGAGCAUUCCAGCUGACACAACAACGACAGGGAGCUGACGCUGAGGGACUUCAGGAAGAUGACUACCUCUCAAAGUUAACAUAUAUUUACAGAUGCACUGAAAGUUCAAAACUGUAUGGACAAGUUUCAUUGAGUUUGUUGUACUAUUUUGCCAAGAAGUUUCAUGCUUUCUUAUGGGACCUUUGCAGAUGUUGUAAGUUUAGUUCUAAAUACUCCUGGUGAUCUUGCCAUUAUCCUUACUGCUAGCAACUCAAUAAGUUGAGAAGACAUGCUCAAAUUUUAUUUGGUUACUUGGCAUGUUUACCUGAUGGUUGUAAGUGUAAAUUAGCCUUGUAUUAAUAGCUUUUGUAAGUGUAGAUCAAACAUAAUUAAGAAUUGAGUGUCCUUAAAAGCUUGUUUGCUUGUCUUAUAAGCCGUGCUUAUUCUGUCA